CAGCCGCCGCGGUAAUACGUAGGGUGCGAGCGUUAAUCGGAAUUACUGGUCGUAAAGCGUGCGCAGGCGGUUCGUUAAGACAGAUGUGAAAUCCCCGGGCUUAACCUGGGAACUGCAUUUGUGACUGGCGAGCUAGAGUAUGGCAGAGGGGGGUAGAAUUCCACGUGUAGCAGUGAAAUGCGUAGAGAUGUGGAGGAAUACCGAUGGCGAAGGCAGCCCCCUGGGCCAAUACUGACGCUCAUGCACGAAAGCGUGGGGAGCAAACAGGAUUAGAUACCCCCGUAGUCCCUGUCUCUUAUAC
rnacentral:rRNA from 1 species